rnacentral:rRNA from 1 species
UACGUAGGGGGCAAGCGUUAUCCGGAAUUAUUGGGCGUAAAGCGCGCGCAGGUGGUUUCUUAAGUCUGAUGUGAAAGCCCACGGCUCAACCGUGGAGGGUCAUUGGAAACUGGGAGACUUGAGUGCAGAAGAGGAAAGUGGAAUUCCAUGUGUAGCGGUGAAAUGCGUAGAGAUAUGGAGGAACACCAGUGGCGAAGGCGACUUUCUGGUCUGUAACUGACACUGAGGCGCGAAAGCGUGGGGAGCAAACAGG